UACGUAGGGUGCAAGCGUUGUCCGGAUUUAUUGGGUUUAAAGGGUGCGUAGGUGGUCUAUUAAGUCAGCGGUGAAAGCUGGUUGCUCAACAAUCAAACCGCCAUUGAUACUGAUAGACUUGAGAUAGAAUGAGGUUGGAGGAAUGGAUGGUGUAGCGGUGAAAUGCAUAGAUAUCAUCCAGAACGUCGAUUGCGAAGGCAUCUGACUAAUUCUAUUCUGACACUGAGGCACGAAAGUGUGGGGAUCAAACAGG
rnacentral:rRNA from 1 species